CCAGAAUCAACGAGUAGUUGCACAUAACGAUGUCCCCUCUAAUGAUCUGACCAAAUUUUGUAAAUAAACAAACAAGCAAAAUCUAAGGGAGAUCAAUUGGCACAUUCUGUCAUCAACCUGGUAACUAAGCACUUUGUCUCGUCUCUGCUUCUUUGUAUCUCCCGUCUCUCUCCUCCCUCCCCUUCCCUUUCCUCUCCCUCAUCCCCCUCCCUGCCCAGCCCAAAUUUAGCCGUUGUAGCUUGCGUCCUCUCUCUCUCGCUCGGCUCUGAGAACACGCACGCAGAGGAAGAGGAAGAGAGGGAUAACAUUUCCCGAAUCGCUUCCGUUCUUGGCUGCGAUCCUUCGUACCCAGCGCGAGGAGCUUCACUUGAUUGUUGAUCCUCGCAUCUUCCAUUUGUUCCAUCUGGGCAGCCAAGAUGAGGCUCCUGGCGUGCUGCUACAAUGAUCCGGAGAUGCAGAUCGAUCCGGACACCGUCUACCCCAUCCGCCCCGACUGCCGCCUCGACGCGCCCAAGACGCGCUUCAAGCCCCGGGCUGGCCUGACGCUGAGCCCAAAGAGAUGGAAGCUGCUCCAUAAUGAGGAAGGUGUCCUGGAUAUAGCUGGGGUGAUCAAAAGAGUGCAACGUGGGGGCAUCCACCCAACAAUCAAAGGAGAAGUUUGGGAAUUUUUGCUGGGUUGCUAUGACCCUAAAAGCACUACUGAACAGCGCAACCAAUUGCGACAGCAGCGAAGGUUGGAGUAUGAGAAACUGAAGACAAAGUGCCGAGAAAUGGACACAACAGUUGGUAGUGGAAGGGUAAUUACUAUGCCUGUAAUAACAGAGGAUGGUCAACCUAUCGCAGACCCGAAUGCAGAUGGAGGGGCAAGACCUUCUUCAGUGGGUUCUGAACAGCAAACCACUGGUGCACCACUCCCCAAAGAAGUUAUUCAAUGGAAGCUAACUCUACAUCAGAUUGGUCUUGAUGUUAAUCGUACCGAUCGUGUACUAGUUUAUUAUGAGAGUCAAGAGAACUUGGCAAGGUUGUGGGACAUUCUAUCAGUGUACUCAUGGGUUGAUAAAGACAUCGGAUAUUGCCAGGGAAUGAGUGAUCUUUGUUCACCAAUAUCAAUCAUUCUGGAACAUGAAGCAGAUGCUUUUUGGUGUUUUGAACGUCUAAUGCACAGGGUGCGAAGAAAUUUCCAAAGUACUUCUACUUCCAUUGGAGUUCGAGCUCAGCUAACUACCUUAUCAACCAUAAUGAAAUCUGUUGAUCCAAAGCUACAUGAACAUUUAGAAAAUCUUGAUGGAGGGGAAUACUUAUUUGCCUUCCGAAUGCUGAUGGUUCUUUUCCGUAGGGAGUUCUCGUUCGUGGACACAAUGUACCUUUGGGAGCUUCAAAACGUUGCAGCUCAUGUGGUCUAUGGAGUACAAUCCAAAUCUCUUUUCAAUGUUGGAGAGUGACACUGGCACAUCCAAGGCAACCACAAUGGAUGAAAGUGUCCUAAGACAGUGUGGAAAGUUUGAGCGUAAAAAUUUGCAGGCAGAUAAGAAAGAUGAGGAGAUCCCUCUAUCCGUAUUUGUUGUUGCUAGUGUUCUGGAGGCUAGAAACAAGAAGUUACUGGGUGAGGCAAAAGGUCUAGACGAUGUUGUCAAGAUUCUAAACGAAAUCACUGGUAGCCUGGAUGCAAAAAAGGCAUGCAGAGAAGCAUUGCAGAUUCAUGAGAAGUACCUAAACACGGUAAAAGCGUAGGGCAUGUACAGCUUCACUUGGUUGGGCUUUUUUUUGGAUUGGAGAAACGGCUAUACCACAGAUUUUUUUUUUCAAUCUUUAUAUGUGGACUGUAAUUCUUUGACCCCGCUUGUUAAUACUGCAUUUGCACACAAAAAGAGAGAGAGAGGAAGCAUGGGGAUUUCUUUCAAAAAGAAAAGCAAAGGAAGAAGGAAGAAAGCAUGUCAGUUUUGUAAAGACGCGACACAAAAUGCUUAUUGCACAAAUGAUUCUUUCUGCUUUGUCGUCAUUUGUUCUCAUAUUACAACAAGUUUGAACAAUACGAUGUACUUUGAAGGUUAGUGUCUAUGUAUGUGGGCAACUUGUGUGA